UACGUAGGGCGCAAGCGUUGUCCGGAAUUAUUGGGCGUAAAGAGCUCGUAGGCGGCCUGUUGCGUCCGCUGUGAAAUCCCGGGGCUCAACCCCGGGCCUGCAGUGGAUACGGGCUGGCUAGAGGCAGGCAGGGGAGAACGGAAUUCCUGGUGUAGCGGUGAAAUGCGUAGAUAUCAGGAGGAACACCUGUGGUGUAGACAGCUUACUGGACCAUUUCUGACGCUGAGACACGAAAGCGUGGGUAGCAAAUAGG
rnacentral:rRNA from 1 species